rnacentral:rRNA from 1 species
AGCGAACGCUGGCGGCAGGCUUAACACAUGCAAGUCGGGCGGGCACUUUCGGGUGUCAGCGGCGGACGGGUGAGUAACGCGUGGGAACGUGCCCUCUGGUUCGGAAUAACUCAGGGAAACUUGAGCUAAUACCGGAUACGCCCUUUUGGGGAAAGGCUUGCUGCCGGAGGAUCGGCCCGCGUCUGAUUAGCUAGUUGGUGAGGUAACGGCUCACCAAGGCGACGAUCAGUAGCUGGUCUGAGAGGAUGAUCAGCCACACUGGGACUGAGACACGGCCCAGACUCCUACGGGAGGCAGCAGUGGGGAAUAUUGGACAAUGGGCGCAAACCUGAUCCAGCCAUGCCGCGUGAGUGAUGAAGGCCUUAGGGUUGUAAAGCUCUUUUAUCCGGGACGAUAAUGACGGUACCGGAGGAAUAAGCCCCGGCUAACUUCGUG